UUAAGGAAUUCGGCAAAUUUCUUUUCGCCUGUUUAAUAAAAACAUGGCUUUUUGGUAAUAAUUUAAGGUCAGGCCUGCCCAAUGAUAAUUUAAAUGGCUGCGGUAUAUUGACCGUGCAAAGGUAGCAUAAUCAUUAGUUUUUUUAUUGGAAGCUGGAAUGAAGGGUUUGACGAGAAAGAAGCUGUCUUAAUUUAAUUAUUUGAAUUUUAUUUUUGAGUGAGAAAGCUUAAAUAGUUUUGAGGGACGAGAAGACCCUAUAGAAUUUAAUAGUUUAUAUAUUUUAAAAUUUUGGUUUAUGUUAAUUGAUAUAAAUUUAAAUUAAUUUGUUGGGGUGAUAAAAAAAUUUAAAUAACUUUUUUUUGUAUUUUUCAUUAAUAAAUGAUUAUAUGAUCCAUUAGUAGUGAUUAUAAGAAAAAAUUACCUUAGGGAUAACAGCGUUAUUAAUCUGGAGAGUUCAAAUCGAUAGAUUAGAUUGCGACCUCGAUGUUGGAUUAAAAUUGGCUUUUGGUGAAGGGACUAAUAAGCUAAGUCUGUUCGACUUUUAAAAUUUUACAUGAUCUGAGUUUAAACCGGCGUGAGCCAGGUUGGUUUCUAUCUUU
rnacentral:rRNA from 1 species